rnacentral:rRNA from 1 species
AAUGGGUCAGCGACUUAUAUUCUGUAGCAAGGUUAACCGAAUAGGGGAGCCGAAGGGAAACCGAGUCUUAACUGGGCGUUAAGUUGCAGGGUAUAGACCCGAAACCCGGUGAUCUAGCCAUGGGCAGGUUGAAGGUUGGGUAACACUAACUGGAGGACCGAACCGACUAAUGUUGAAAAAUUAGCGGAUGACUUGUGGCUGGGGGUGAAAGGCCAAUCAAACCGGGAGAUAGCUGGUUCUCCCCGAAAGCUAUUUAGGUAGCGCCUCGUGAAUUCAUCUCCGGGGGUAGAGCACUGUUUCGGCAAGGGGGUCAUCCCGACUUACCAACCCGAUGCAAACUGCGAAUACCGGAGAAUGUUAUCACGGGAGACACACGGCGGGUGCUAACGU